rnacentral:misc_RNA from 1 species
AAACGAUAGUAGGUCGAAAUGUAGGAAGGAUUUAAAAGAAUAUCCAUACAACUCAUACCAUUUUCCAUCUAACUCAACUCUUCAUAUAACCAGUCUGCAUAGGUCCUAAACUAAAAUGAAUUCCCACGCAAUGUCGGACCCUCGAUAUUAUAACAAACAUUCAUAUAAUCAUAGCUCUGCAUCAUUCACUUCCUUCUCGUGCCUGACGUGGUGACCCAGAUCUUGAUUUUGACCGUGGCCUUGUAGAUUUAACAGGGGAUGGAGAUCUUGAUCUUGAAACUGAUCUCGAAACAGAUCGUUCGGCUGAUUUGCUCCUAUUUCGUCUAGCAGUCCGGCUACGGCUACGGCUUCGGCUCCGGCUCCGGCUUCUACUACGGCUUCUGCUCCUGCUCCUGGUGGGACUUCCGUCGUACUUCUUCACCCGAAUGUAUGCUCUCGCCCAAGGAUUUCUGAAUUCAGUAUCAUCAAGUUUUCGCAUAGCAUAUUUCAUGUCAUCAUAG